CCUACGGGAGGCAGCAGUGAGGAAUAUUGGUCAAUGGGCGCAAGCCUGAACCAGCCAAGUAGCGUGCAGGAUGACUGCCCUACGGGUUGUAAACUUCUUUUAUAACGGAAUAAAGUGAUGCACGUGUGCCUUUUUGUAUUUACUUUAUGAAUAAGGAUCGGCUAACUCCGUUCCAGCAGCCGCGGUAAUACGGAGGAUCCGAUCGUUAUCCGGAUUUAUUGGGUUUAAAGUGAGCGUAGGUGGGUUGUUAAGUCAGUUGUGAAAUUUUGGGGCUCAACCGGAAGAUUGCAAGGGAUACUGGCAGUCUUGAGUACAGUUGAGGUAGGGGGAAUUCGUGGUGUAGCGGUGAAAUGCUUAGAUAUGACGAAGAACUCCGAGUGCGAAGGCAGCCUACUAAACUGCCACUGACAUUGAUGCUCGAAAGUGUGGGUAUCAAACAGGAUUAGAUACCCUGGUAGUC
rnacentral:rRNA from 1 species